UCCCCGAUAGCUCAGUUGGUAGAGCAUUCGACUGUUAAUCGAAUUGUCGCUGGUUCGAGCCCAGCUCGGGGAGCCA
rnacentral:tRNA from 1 species